UGGCCUUGACAGUGUCUGCUCUAUCUUCAACUUAAAUUCACCAAUCGAUAAGGAUGGGAACCAUCCUGUAUCAAGAAUGCUUAGUGGGCAUAAGGGUUACGUGUCUUCCUGUCAGUACGUUCCAGAUGAGGAUACUCACCUAAUAACUAGUUCUGGUGAUCAAACAUGUGUUCUUUGGGAUAUUGUGUCUUCCUGUCAGUAUGUUCCAGAUGAGGAUACUCACCUAAUAACUAGUUCUGGUGAUCAAACAUGUGUCCUUUGGGAUAUAACUACUGGUCUAAAAACUUCUGUCUUUGGAGGUGAGUUUCAAUCCGGGCACACUGCAGAUGUACAAAGGUGAGUUGGUGAUCAAUUGACUAUGCAAAUAUUCUAUCUCUGUCCUUUAACUAUGUUAAACAUAUUUUCUGCAUAUAGUUUUGGAAGCAAUCUUAUUUCUUUUC
rnacentral:lncRNA from 1 species